AUAAAAUCUUUAAAAAAAAAAUGCACAUUAAAAUGACAUGGAGAUACAUAUCUCACCCUUGUGAUUGGCACACAUCUAAAAUGUUGAUAGCAUACUCUGUUGGCCAGGCUGUGAGGAAACAGACACUCUGAUAUGCUGGGUACGGAAACGCAAACUGGGACAACCUCCACCAUAGGAGAUUUGGCAAUAUCUAGCUGGCACAUCCAGCAAUACCUUUUUAUUAUGCAAUCCUGAUAUAAGAAGUGGUUGGGGUUAGAAGCCGACGUUCAAGAAAGAAUUCUUGAGACGUCUUCUUUUUUUUUUUUUUUUUAAGAUUUUAUUUAUUUAUUUAUUUGACAGAGAGAGACAGCUAGAGAGGGAACACAAGCAGGGGGAGAGGGACAGGGAGAAGCAGGCUUCCCGCGGAGCAGGGAGCCCAAAACGGGGCUCGAUCUCAGGACCCUGGGAUCAUGACCUGAGCCAAAGGCAGACGCUUAACAACUGAGCCACCCAGGCGCAGAAGGAAGACGUCUUUUGUGCAGAACAGUGGUUUUAUUAAAGCACGGGGAUGGGACCCGUGGGCAGGAAGAGAAGCACUGGAUUCAUAAGGAGUGGCCCAUUAUAUACUUUCAAGUUGGGAAGGGAUUAGGGAUAGCAUGUCUCCAAGGAAUUUGGGAGCACGGUUCCCAGGACCUUGAGGGGGCUAGCUAUUGUUAGGAAAAGGUCAUUUAUUACUGUCCAAUAAAACACUAGUCAUGAGACCUUUCAGAUGUAUUUCGUUGGGUCAUAUGCUUGGAGAAGGAUUAGCAACAUGUAUCUUGGGGGAUAGGGAUAAAGGAAGUUUCCAAAGGAAUUUUUAUUUAUUUAUUUUUAAAGAUUUUCUUUAUUCAUUUGACAGAGAGAGAGACAGUGAGAGAGGGAACACAAGCAGGGGGAGUGGCAGAGGGAGAAGCAGGCUUCCCUCUGAGGAGGGAGCCCGAUGCGGGGCUCGAUCCCAGGACCUCGGGAUCAUGACCUGGCUGAAGGUAGAUGCUUAACAACUGAGCCACCCAGGCGCCCCCAAAGGAAUUUUUAUAUGUUAAAGUAGACUUACAGAAUCCUAGGGGGUCGGGAUAAUGUUAAGCUAUGAUUGCCUUUUGCCCUUAGCAAAGUAUUAACAUGGAGGCAGCUGAGCUCCUAAAGGAAUGUCCCUCUGCCUGUUUCAAGGACUUGUCAAUGGGCUGCAAGUAGGAAGGAAAUUUUUCUUCUGCUUUUGCUCCCACAUCAAUCCCACUUUUGGAAAUCUAUCCCAAAGAUACUCCAGCAAAAAUAUGAAAAGGAAUAUGUGCUAUUAAACACAGAAUUAUCUGUAAAAGCUGGAACUGUCAAUAAGACUGCGGCACCUCCACACAAAGGAGUAUUAUGCAAUUGUAAAGAGCAGUGAGGGGGCGCCCGGCUGGCUCAGUCCCUAGAGCAUGUGACUCUUGAUCUUGGGGUCUUGAGUUCAAGCCCCACCUUGGACUUAGAGCUGACUUAAAAAAAAAAAAAAAGGAAUGAGGAAUAUGCUACUAUGGAAUGAUCGUCAAGAAAUACUUUCAAGUGAAUAAAGUGAGGUGUAGGACAUGUGCAUGUGAAUAGUAUGCUCUUGUUUAUCUAAAAAAGGAGCUGUAAAUAUAUAUAUAUAUUUCUAACAUAAAAAUAAUGGAAAAGGGGGCACCUUGGUGGCCCAGUUGGUUAAGUGUCUGCCUUUGGCUCAGGUCAUGAUCUCAGGGUCCUGGGAUCAAGCCCUUCAUCAGGCUCCCUGCUCAGUGGAGAGUCUGCAUCUCCCUCUCCCUCCUCCCCCCUCCCCCCUGCUCUGUCUCUGUCUCUCAAAUAAAUAAAUAAAUAAAUAAAUAAAUAAAUAAAUAAAUAAAAAGAUGGAAAUAUAAAAUAUAAACAGUAUAAUUAGGGAGAGGGAAGAAUAAGGUGGAAAGGACAGGGAUAGAAGACAAACUUUGAAUAUACCUUGUUUUGCAGAGUUGAUUUUAGAACCAUGUAAAUAUUUUAAAUAACUAUAAAAUAAAUUUAAAAGUGAAAGCAAUUCAAUUCCAUUAAAAAACAUAUGAAUUCUAUUAUUUUCAAAACAAAGGUUUUUUUUAUUUUUUUAUUUUUUAAGAUUUUAUUUAUUUGUCAGAGAGAGAGAGCUCUGCCUGCUGCCCCUCCUCCCCCCCCAGGCAGAGGAAAAAAGUUUUUUUUUUAAAGAGAGAGUUGGCUACAAUUCAAAAGCUACAUAAAUGAGUUAACACCUCUGCUUCCUCUCAGGCUAAGGUCUCAUCUUUUCUUUCAUGGGAUGAAGUCUCCCUCUAGCGGAGGCUAGUUUUAGAACUAGUCCCCGAAACCCUGCACCACAAAGGAAAUCUUUUGCUCAUUGUCUCCUGCCCCCAUCCUUAAAUUACAUAAGUACUAGAGUCACCAGCAGGAGGAUGUGGUAGAAGAUUCUGAGCAAUGGGAGAGCAAAGAGUCAGGGACAGAGUCAAGCUUUAGAAGGAAGCUGGGGGAAUGAGAAACAGGACAGACUCUGAGAGCCUUGAAGACUAGGGGGAGGAAUUUCAGCUUCCUAUGGGCGGAGCAUUCCCACCGCCCGGGGCCAGAGCGAGGUGAUUAACAUGCUAAUGUCACUGUGUCCUCGGGGGAACUAGGCAAGGCAUUGCCUUAAGGGAAGCCCUGAGGAGAAGUGGAGGGGACGAAUCGGGAUUCUCAGGAAUCAGCUAAAGUGUGAUGGGGAUGAAUUCCAGGCAUCCCUCCCAUCCCUCAAGACUCUCUCAGAGCCUCGCUGACGUUGGGGUCGGAUGCUGUGGUCCACUGGGUGAAAGUUUGGCCUUCCCCGAGAUGGGUCAGGGGAAAAGCCCUGGCACAGCCUCUUCCGUUCCUGGUAGGGUGACCACAACUUGGUCCACACUGAAAGUGGCCUCUGGGGAGAAUGAUGGCAGGAGGAUCCUUGUGUUCUGGCCACUCCAGGUCUCAUCUGACUUCACCUACUGGAAAUGACUCAGUGGAAAACUCCCUUGGCAGGGAAACCUUUCGAGUGGAGCCUCUUUUUUUUUUUUUUUUUUUUUAAGAUUUUAUUUAUUUAUUUGACAGAGAAAGACACAGCGAGAGAGGGAACACAAACGGGGAGUGGGAGAGGGAGAAGCAGACUCCCUGCCGAGCAGGGAGCCCGAUGCGGGACUCGAUCCCGGGACUCCAGGAUCAUGACCUGAGCCGAAGGCAGUUGCUUAACCAACUGAGCCACCCAGGCGCCCAAGUGGAGCCUCUUCUAACAGCUAGUCCGGUCUCUAAGAGUAUGUGCCAUGCUUCCCCAUUGCAUCACUCUGCAGUCUUACCCUUGGUCAACAAUAUUUGGGAGUUGCCAAUUCAGUGUGUAUCUGUAAUCCCCUUUACCGUGUUCAGUAAGAAUCAAAAAGAAAUGAACACUAAAAACGGGCUAGUUUCCUAAGUUCAUUUUCUGGUCCUAUAAAAUCUAACUCCUGAAUUCAGCACUCUUUUGCUGUUUUACCCAGCGAGUGGGAGAAGGCCGUCCAGGAAAUCGCACUCUGGAGUAAUUAUUUCCACCAAUUCUCACACCUUUCUUUGUCCUGCCUUCACUUCUUCUCUUUAAAAGGUGGAUUUCCAGACACACUGAAAUUCUGUAGGGAGAACAUUGGGCUAACUAGGUGUGGUAACCCUCCCCGGGUGCAAAAUGCAACAUAUUUCUCCAGGAGUCCACGGAGGAGGAAGACAGCUGAUGGAGAAAGCCUGUCUCUUUCCCCAAACAGGUUGCUGAAGGGCAGCCCCCAGAUCAUAAUGUUUUCAGACCCUAAUUUUUUUUUUAAAGAUUUUAUUUAUUUAUUUGACAGAGAGAGACACAGCGAGAGAGGGAACACAAGCAGGGGGAGUGGGAGAGGGAGAAGCAGGCUCCCCGCAGAGCAGGGAGCCUGAUGCGGGACUCGAUCCCAGGACCCUGGGAUCAUGACCUGAGCUGAAGGCAGUCGCUUAACCAACUGAGCCACCCAGGCGUCCCCUAAUUUUUAAUAUAAAAAAAGUCUUAUGAACUUUAUGCAAUGGAACAUUAUUCAGCUUUAAAAAGGCAGGACAUUCUGGCAUAUGCCACAACAUGGAUGAACCUUGAGGACUUGGUGCUCAGUGAAAUAAGCCAGACACAGAAAGACAAGUAGUGAAUGAUCCCAUUUCUUAGGAGUACUUAGUCAAAAUCCUGGAGACAGGAAGUAGAAUGGUGGUGGUCGGGGUGCUUGGAUGGCUCAGUCGGUUAAGUUCCCGACUCUUGAUUCCCACUUGGGUCAUGAUCUCAGGGUCACGAGAUGAACUCUGUGCCGGGCUCGUGCUGGAUGCAAAGCCUGCUUCGGAUUCUUUCUCCCUCUGCCUGCACCCCUCCUCCCCCGUCUAUGAUGGUUGCCUGGCAGUAUGAAUGUACUUAAUACCUCUGAACUCUACGCUUAAAAAGGGUUCAGACGGUAAGCUUUCUGUUACGUAUUUUACCGCAGUAAAAGAAUGGAAGAAAAACAAGUAGUGUGCACUGUGCACUUCAGCGGGGACUGCCAAGGAGUAUGGGGCGGCCGGUACCGGAGACCGACGCGGCCGAGGCGCUCUCGCCUCCCGCUCCCCGGCGCCCGCAGGACCCCUGGGUCCAGAGCUGCUGCCUUCCUCCCCCCGCACGCAGACAUGCCGCGAUCGUCACUCAGGCCCACAGCGCUCCUGACUUUCCCCCUUGCCUUUUCCUUUUGUCCGGAACUGGGCACAGAGUCAGCAACUUCCUAAAAAGUCCGGGUCAGACGACUUUCAUCAUCAUCAUCAUUUUUCGAGCCAUUAAAAUAUACCAGUGUUUUAACCUCCUUCCCCAGCAACCGCGAGUAAAACUGAUGAGGACUAGGAACAGAGAAACGUUCACCUUUAGCCCAGACGCUGACGAGUAGCCCGCGUGGUUCUGGUGAGAAUCCAAUACGUGCUGGGUGCUAAGUUCUUAAGAUUUUUUUUAGAAUUAUGUUUUAUUUAUUUGAGAGAGAGAGUGAAUGAGAGAGAGCACGAGCGGGGGUGGGGGGGAGCAGCAGGCAGAGGCAGAGGGAGAAGCAGGCUCCCCACUGAGCAGGGAGCCUGACAUGGGGCUCGAUCCCAGGACCCUGAGAUCAUGACCUGAGCCGAAGGCAGACGCUUAACGACUGAGCCACCCAGGCGCCCAAGAUAUUAUUUAUUUAUUUGACAGAGAGAGACAUAGAGAGAGAGGGAACACAAGCAGGGGGAGGGGGAGAGGGAGAAGCAGGCUCCCCACUGAGCAGGGAGCCUGACAUGGGGCUCGAUCCCAGGACCCUGGGAUCAUGACCUGAGCCGAAGGCAGACGCUUAACGACUGAGCCACCCAGGCGCCCAAGAUAUUAUUUAUUUAUUUGACAGAGAGAGACAUAGAGAGAGAGGGAACACAAGCAGGGGGAGGGGGAGAGGGAGAAGCAGGCUCCCCGCAGAGCAGGGAGCCUGACAUGGGGCUCGAUCCCAGGACCCUGGGACCAUGACCUGAGCCGAGGGCAGCCGCCCAAUUGACCGAGCCACCCAAGCGCCCCUGGGUGCUAAGUUCUUACAGGGUCUCACGCCUGCCUGUGCAUCGCACCCACAGUUGCUACAGAAAGUAGUUUGCCAGUAGACAUUCAAAGACACAUUCAUGAUCGAACCCGCCCCGCACGUGUCCCGCCCCUCCCCCCUCCCCCCUCCCCCCUCCUCCUCCCUCCCCCCUCCCCGCUCCCCCGCCCGCCCCGAGCGCUAAGCUUGUCAGGCCAGCUUGACGAAGCCAAAGCUCAGCCCUUUCUGCCCCAAGGGUCCUGUCCCCGUGCUACUUAAAUAAACUUGCUAAGUUGCAACCCUAAAACGUCUCAAGAAUUCUUUUUGUCCAUCAUGCUUGACGAUCUCGCAACAAACUGAGAACAGCAUUUGUACGUUUUACGUAGGAGAAGACGGAAGCACAGGAAGGUGAAACGUCUGCCCACAGCUGCGCAGCUGGGAAGUUGCGGAGCCAGCUGUCACCAUCCAAACCGCCUGUUCCUCAAGAGAGAAACACAGCGAGAGAGGGAACACAAGCAGGGGGAGUGGGAGAGGGAGAAGCAGGCUUCCUGCUGAGCAGGGAGCCCGAUGCGGGGCUCGAUCCCAGGACGCUGGGAUCAUGACCUGAGCCGAAGGCAGACGCUUAACGACUGAGCCACCCAGGUGCCCCGCCACCCUGAUGUGAGGAAGCAGACCCUAUGGAGAGGCCACGUGUAAGUGUUCCCACUGGAAUGCAGCCAACAGCCAGCCUAACCUCCCAGCAUGUGAAUGAGUGACUCCAGGUAAUGCCAGCACCAGCCUGUUAAGUCACCGCUAGGCUCUGUCUUCCCGCUCAAGUCCCAGAGAUUUUGGAACAGAAACUGUCCCCCCUCGACUCUUUCACAGUUCUUUUUUUGUUUUUUAAGAUUUUAUUUAUUUAUUUGACAGAGAGAUAGAGAGCACAAGUAGGCAGAGUGGCAGGCAAAGAGGGAGAAGCAGACUCCCCGCUGAGCAGGGAGCCCGAUGCAGGGCUCAAUGCGGGGCUCGAUCCCAGGACUCUGCGAUCAUGACCUGAGCCGAAGGCAGACACUUAACCGACUGAGCCACCCAGGCGCCCCUACUCUUUCCCAAUUCUUGACCCUGGAGUGGUUUGUUACACAGCAGUAAUCAGAACAUUCCGUCAAGGUGGCGUCUAGGUGAAUGAGGAACUGUCAUGGUAGCAGAGAAAGGCAGACAACCUCAGCUCCCUGUGGCUGGCCUCGGGGACCUUACUGCUCUUGGCUGUGUUGGCCUUGUCCCUGGGGACUUUCUGCUGAGUUGCAGCUGUUCUGCUGGGCCUUUUGGAGUCUCAUCCUGACAGUAACUAAUUCACCCAUUUUCCUCUAGUUGCAAAGUCCCUGCCCAACCAGCUGCUCUGUCUCAUUUCCUUGUUUACAAAAGACGUUUGUUCUUAUCUAGGUGUCUUCCUGUGGAAGGAGAUAGGAGUCCAGUCUUCAGAAGCCAUUCUUCUCUUCCUCCCCCCAAAACUCCCACUGUGGCUGGAUUAGCUGGAUAGCUGGGUGUUUUUUAAUCCAUUUCCUCAGGAGCAGGAGGACCUGAUUCCUUCCAGCACCGGCCCCACCGCAGGGUUUCACGGGAAUAUUUGGGCAUGUCCUGCAAGGGGUGUAGGAAGGAGCAGCAGCAUGCAUUGCUGGCACCCCGACCUCAGUCUCCUGCAGGUUUCCCCGCCGCCUCACCUUGUAGUCAGAAGGGGCGAGCCACCUCUUCCAGCGCAGGGCAGGGGCUCACAUUCAUUCCCUUGUCUGACUUGGACCUCACAGCUGCCCUCUCCAGGGACCCCAAGACAAAGUGCAUUAUUUGUAGGGCUGAUCUCUCCUGAAGCUCCAAUUUAAAAAGGGAUUUUUGGACAAUCAGUAUAAAUGACCAGAGUUUGGAUCUUGCCCAUGCAUCGCUAGAAUGGACCUCCUGCAUGUCCCUUUACAACUUUAUUAUUUCUUCAUCUGUUGCAUUUUGAUGGUGAUUAUCUCCUAAGAUUGUUAAAAUGAUUAAAUGACUUUGUAAAUCACUUAGUCUGAUACAAGGUAAAUGUAAAACAAAAAUUAGUCACUAUGAUUAAAAAAUGUAUAUUAGCAAAUUCAAGACUCUGCAAGCUGUUUAGAGAACUGCUGCACUCUCCUAAACCAGACUUUCCCCCGUUGCUCCGUCCAUAGAAUCCUUUUAAAUAGCACACCUAUAUCAGAGGGAUCAGGGCGGUUUAGGGUGGAGACGGAGGAGCCGAGCGAACGGGACCGGGCGGGACACGACCACGCAGGAGUGCCGGGUGUCCAGGUCUGUGGACCGCCACUCCCCUCGGGACGGGCCGGGUCCCUCCCGGCGCCUGGGCCUGAGCCACGGACGCCUGCAGAGGCAGCGGGGCUGCGGACUGGGACCUGCCCCUUCUCCCCAUCCCAGCCGCGACAGCCGGCUCUGCUCUGCUUCCCUUCCGCGGCGUGUUGCCCGUUUCGCGUCACCCUGCUCUCACUGCCGGGAACCGACACCAGCCCUUCCCCACCUUCCGGUCGUGACUCAGCCUCACUGACGGGAAGCCUACCGACCCGCGGGGGCGGGCACCCGAGGGGGAGCGG